GAUGAACGCUAGCGGCAGGCUUAAUACAUGCAAGUCGUGGGGCAGCAGGUUUGUAGCAAUACAGAUGCUGGCGACCGGCAAACGGGUGCGGAACACGUACAGAACCUUCCUUUGAGCGGGGAAUAGCCCAGAGAAAUUUGGAUUAAUACCCCAUAGUAUAAUGAAGUGGCAUCACUUUAUUAUUAAAGAUUUAUCACUCGAAGAUGGCUGUGCGGCUGAUUAGGUAGUUGGCGGGGUAAAGGCCCACCAAGCCUGCGAUCAGUAACUGGUGUGAGAGCACGACCAGUCACACGGGCACUGAGACACGGGCCCGACUCCUACGGGAGGCAGCAGUAAGGAAUAUUGGUCAUUGGAGGCAACUCUGAACCAGCCAUGCCGCGUGGAGGAUGAAGGUCCUCUGGAUUGUAAACUUCUUUUAUAUGGGACGAAAAAAAGGCUUUUCUAAGUCGUCUGACGGUACCAUAUGAAUAAGCACCGGCUAACUCCGUGCCAGCAGCCGACGG
rnacentral:rRNA from 1 species